rnacentral:rRNA from 1 species
UACGUAGGGUCCAAGCGUUAAUCGGAAUUACUGGGCGUAAAGCGUGCGCAGGCGGUUCUGAAAGUCAGCUGUGAAAGCCCCGGGCUUAACCUGGGAAUUGCGGUUGAAACUACAGGGCUAGAAUCUGGCAGAGGGGGGUGGAAUUCCACGUGUAGCAGUGAAAUGCGUAGAGAUGUGGAGGAACACCGAUGGCGAAGGCAGCCCCCUGGGCUGAGAUUGACGCUCAGGCACGAAGGCGUGGGGAGCAAACAGG